rnacentral:lncRNA from 1 species
AGAUUCCAUUAUGACAUUAGUCUCUGGUCACAAUUAUCUGAAGCCUUGCAGUCAGUGGUUCCUCUGCCUUGUUCCUCCUUCCAGUGGAUUGCAUAUCCAGAUAAUGUUGAACUUGGGAGCCUUCCAAAAUGGAGUAAGGCUGGAUCCCCAAAUCUCCAAUGUAACAAGCCUGGAACACUUAUGUGUAGAAUGCUCAGACUAUUAGUUGAGAGAAAAAUAAAAUUCCAUUUUGUUCA